AAACGUAGUGGAAGGCCUGCAGAUUGUGUGAGUAGAGUAGCUACAUCAGUAUGAAGAGGAAGAGGUCGUCAGGUUAGACAUUGGAAACAUUUCGAAAAAACCUGGGCUUCGCCAAGUAGGAGUUGUUCCUGAAUAGAUUUCAGUGCAAGUCUAUAUCUCCCCACGCUAGAGGUGGCUGCGAUUCACUUGUAGUCUGCCAAGGAAUUUGUGGAAACAAGUCCUUGAACAGAAGUUGAGGCCUUUAAGGAAAGCAAAGCCCCUCACAACAUAUCAGGAAGUUUUAUGAAUUUAUGAUAGCAGGUGGAGUUUCGUCUUUCUUUUCUGGUGAAUCCCGUCGCCAUGGUCCGUUUAGUGAACAAAGAUGUUGGCUGCCAAUCGUUUGACCUGCGUUCGGAUCCCGGAGAAGGUAUAGAUGUUUGGAAGUUUAUAGUGCACCAGAAUUGCCCAAAAGGGCUAUUAAUUUCGUUUUGGCAUUUUGUACCGAUUCACUUUUGAAAUUGUUGAAAAUAAACUGAUCAUUUGA